GACGAACGCUGGCGGCGUGCUUAACACAUGCAAGUCGAGCGGUAAGGCCCUUUCGGGGGUACACGAGCGGCGAACGGGUGAGUAACACGUGGGUGACCUGCCCUCAGCUCUGGGAUAAGCCUGGGAAACUGGGUCUAGUACUGGAUAUGACUCCACGGUGCAUGUCGUGGGGUGGAAAGCCUUGUGCGGCUGAGGAUGGGCCCGCGGCCUAUCAGCUUGUUGGUGGGGUGAGGCCUACCGAGGCGACGACGGGUAGCCGGCCUGAGAGGGCGACCGGCCACACUGGGACUGAGACACGGCCCAGACUCCUACGGGAGGCAGCAGUGGGGAAUCUUGCGCAAUGGGCGAAAGCCUGACGCAGCGACGCCGCGUGAGGGAUGACGGCCU
rnacentral:rRNA from 1 species